ensembl:lncRNA uncharacterized LOC103103409
CCACACCCAUACCAAGACACACUACCAAGUCGGCUGGUAUAUAAAGGCUGACGAGUUCAACCUGCUGAUUUGCACUGUUGAAGACUGAGAACACCUGAUAUCACCAGCAUGAAAUUCCCCACUCUCUCCAGCCUGCUGUGCAUACUGCUCCUGUGUUUGUUGGCCUUCUCCACAGAAGGUGCAAGACACAAUAGGAACCAGAAAGUUCACUGCUGCCAAAAGGCUGCAAACCCGAGAGGGAGAAUCAGACCAUACCACAAAUGGUGUAAAAACAAAGUCAAUUUCCCAUGUAUGACGAUCCCUGGAGCACUUCCUCAGAUAUAAAGACCCAGAACAGGAGAUCACGGGAGAAAGCGAAGACCAAGGGACCUUCUCUGACCUCCAAGUUAACAACGCUGCUCACUGGGUUUGCCCUGAAGCUCCUCACCCUCCAAAUGGGACUCAUCCCUCUUCGAGUUGAUCAUUUUGGGUGAUUCUCUGCAUCCAACUCACUAAAGGACAAACUGGCAUCUUCUCUUUUGGACUCAAUCAGCCUUUUGUCCAUGUGUUUGGUGUGCCGGUGGAAAGCUUGAGACUGGAAGCUUCCAUAGCUUUCUAUGCUAAGGACAUAAAGAACAUGGUACCUAUACCCCUCUCUAACCUCAUCACUUCUCUGCUCCUCAAUGUCUCUUCUUUAAACUAUAGUUUUUGUCAUAGUAAGGCUGUAACUAAUGAAUAAAUCAAAUUUGAAACUCCUCUGUGGCUUCUGU